GGCUAAUACCGCAUAAUGUCGCAAGACCAAAGUGGGGGACCUUCGGGCCUCACACUACCGGAUGAACCCAGAUGGGAUUAGCUAGUUGGUGGGGUAACGGCUCACCAAGGCGACGAUCCCUAGCUGGUCUGAGAGGAUGACCAGCCACACUGGAACUGAGACACGGUCCAGACUCCUACGGGAGGCAGCAGUGGGGAAUAUUGCACAAUGGGCGCAAGCCUGAUGCAGCCAUGCCGCGUGUAUGAAGAAGGCCUUCGGGUUGUAAAGUACUUUCAGCGGGGAGGAAGGGAGUGAGGUUAAUAACUUCAUUCAUUGACGUUACCCGCAGAAGAAGCACCGGCUAACUCCGUGCCAGCAGCCGCGGUAAUACGGAGGGUGCAAGCGUUAAUCGGAAUUACUGGGCGUAAAGCGCACGCAGGCGGUCUGUUAAGUCAGAUGUGAAAUCCCCGGGCUCAACCCGGGAACUGCAUUUGAAACUGGCAGGCUUGAGUCUCGUAGAGGGGGGUGGAAUUCCAGGUGUAGCGGUGAAAUGCGUAGAGAUCUGGAGGAAUACCGGUGGCGAAGGCGGCCCCCUGGACGAAGACUGACGCUCAGGUG
rnacentral:rRNA from 1 species